rnacentral:rRNA from 1 species
GACUCGUCACACUAUCAUUAACUGAAUCCAUAGGUUAAUGAGGCGAACCGGGGGAACUGAAACAUCUAAGUACCCCGAGGAAAAGAAAUCAACCGAGAUUCCCCCAGUAGCGGCGAGCGAACGGGGAGGAGCCCAGAGCCUGAAUCAGCAUGUGUGUUAGUGGAAGCGUCUGGAAAGGCGCGCGAUACAGGGUGACAGCCCCGUACACAAAAGCGCAUGUGCUGUGAGCUCGAUGAGUAGGGCGGGACACGUGGUAUCCUGUCUGAAUAUGGGGGGACCAUCCUCCAAGGCUAAAUACUCCUGACUGACCGAUAGUGAACCAGUACCGUGAGGGAAAGGCGAAAAGAACCCCGGCGAGGGGAGUGAAAAAGAACCUGAAACCGUGUACGUACAAGCAGUGGGAGCACAGGUUUACCUGUGUGACUGCGUACCUUUUGUAUAAUGGGUCAGCGACUUAUAUUCUGUAGCAAGGUUAACCGAAUAGGGGAGCCGGAGGGAAACCGAGUCUUAAUUGGGCGUUAAGUUGCAGGGUAUAGACCCGAAACCCGGUGAUCUAGCCAUGGGCAGGUUGAAGGUUGGGUAACACUAACUGGAGGACCGAACCGACUAAUGUUGAAAAAUUAGCGGAUGACCUGUGGCUGGGGGUGAAAGGCCAAUCAAACCGGGAGAUAGCUGGUUCUCCCCGAAAGCUAUUUAGGUAGCGCCUCGUGAAUUCAUCUCCGGGGGUAGAGCACUGUUUCGGCUAGGGGGCCAUCCCGGCUUACCAACCCGAUGCAAACUGCGAAUACCGGAGAAUGUUAUCACGGGAGACACACGGCGGGUGCUAACGUCCGUCGUGAAGAGGGAAACAACCCAGACCGCCAGCUAAGGUCCCAAAGUCAUGGUUAAGUGGGAAACGAUGUGGGAAGGCCCAGACAGCCAGGAUGUUGGCUUAGAAGCAGCCAUCAUUUAAAGAAAGCGUAAUAGCUCACUGGUCGAGUCGGCCUGCGCGGAAGAUGUAACGGGGCUAAACCAUGCACCGAAGCUGCGGCAGCGACGCUGAUGCGUUGUUGGGUAGGGGAGCGUUCUGUAAGCCUGCGAAGGUGGCCUGUGAGGGUUGCUGGAGGUAUCAGAAGUGCGAAUGCUGACAUAAGUAACGAUAAAGCGGGUGAAAAGCCCGCUCGCCGGAAGACCAAGGGUUCCUGUCCAACGUUAAUCGGGGCAGGGUGAGUCGACCCCUAAGGCGAGGCCGAAAGGCGUAGUCGAUGGGAAACGGGUUAAUAUUCCCGUACUUGGUGUUACUGCGAAGGGGGGACGGAGAAGGCUAUGUUGGCCGGGCGACGGUUGUCCCGGUUUAAGCGUGUAGGUGUGUGUUCCAGGUAAAUCCGGUUCACUUUAACACUGAGGCGUGAUGACGAGGCACUACGGUG